GACGAACGCUGGCGGCGUGCUUAACACAUGCAAGUCGAACGGAAAGGCCCUGCUUUUGUGGGGUGCUCGAGUGGCGAACGGGUGAGUAACACGUGAGUAACCUGCCCUUGACUUUGGGAUAACUUCAGGAAACUGGGGCUAAUACCGGAUAGGAGCUCCUGCUGCAUGGUGGGGGUUGGAAAGUUUCGGCGGUUGGGGAUGGACUCGCGGCUUAUCAGCUUGUUGGUGGGGUAGUGGCUUACCAAGGCUUUGACGGGUAGCCGGCCUGAGAGGGUGACCGGCCACUUGGGGACGGGGAAGCGGCCCAGACCCCGAGGGGGGGCAGAAGGGGGGAAUUUUGCAAAGUGGGCGGAAGCGUGAUGCAGCACCGCCGGGGGGGGGAGGGGGGCCUUGGGGUUGAAACCCGCUUUCGCCGGUGAAGAGGGGGGAGUGAGGGAAAGGGGUAAAGAAGCACCGGCUAACUAGGGG
rnacentral:rRNA from 1 species